AUUUACCUGAGAUCGCGUUAGGGAUAGAAGCGGUAUCCUUUUUAUUUUUUCUUUAAAAAUAAAAAGAUAUAGCGGAUAGCCCGACCGAAG
rnacentral:sRNA from 1 species